UUGGUUUAGGAUGGUUUAGGAAUAGCUGC
rnacentral:piRNA from 1 species